rnacentral:rRNA from 1 species
CGGCCGCGUCGACCUGGGGAGUACGGUCGCAAGAUUAAAACUCAAAGGAAUUGACGGGGACCCGCACAAGCGGUGGAUGAUGUGGAUUAAUUCGAUGCAACGCGAAAAACCUUACCUAGCCUUGACAUGCCAGGAAUCCCGAAGAGAUUUGGGAGUGCCCGCAAGGGAAUCUGGACACAGGUGCUGCAUGGCUGUCGUCAGCUCGUGUCGUGAGAUGUUGGGUUAAGUCCCGCAACGAGCGCAACCCUUGUCACUAGUUGCUACGAAAGGGCACUCUAGUGAGACUGCCGGUGACAAACCGGAGGAAGGUGGGGAUGACGUCAAGUCCUCAUGGCCCUUAUGGCUAGGGCCUCACACGUCAUACAAUGGUCGGAACAGAGGGCAGCAAAGCCGCGAGGCGGAGCAAAUCCCAGAAAACCGAUCGUAGUCCGGAUUGCAGUCUGCAACUCGACUGCAUGAAGUCGGAAUCGCUAGUAAUCGCGGAUCAGCAUGCCGCGGUGAACUACGUUCCGGGUCUGUACCGG